ACUGCUGCCUCCCGUAGGAGUAGGGGGAAUCUUCCACAAUGGACGCAAGUCUGAUGGAGCAACGCCGCGUGAGUGAAGAAGGUCUUCGGAUCGUAAAACUCUGUUGUUAGAGAAGAACACGAGUGAGAGUAACUGUUCAUUCGAUGACGGUAUCUAACCAGCAAGUCACGGCUAACUACGUGCCAGCAGCCGCGGUAAUAC
rnacentral:rRNA from 2 species